UCCAUGAUAUGUGUUGGAAGAUAAAUAGGUUCCUAUUCUUCCAUAUACGCCAAGUGACUAAUCCAAACCAGCAGGACCAAAUAAGACCACAAUCCUGAAAUCUUUCAUGAAAACAAAGGUUAAGAGUAAGCCAAUCCUGAAAAAAGACAGAGAAAAACCUUUGUUUUAAUUGAUCUAGAAUCACAAGCCUCUACACAUCUUUCGCGGGAG
rnacentral:lncRNA from 1 species